ensembl:lncRNA LINC02217 long intergenic non-protein coding RNA 2217
GGACAGAUUGCAGAGAGCUCUGUGUGCUGAGAGGAGGGUGCAGACCAGAUUUUUAAAUUGAGAAUGCAACAGUGAAGGAUUUCAAGCUUGGAGUGAGAGGGGAGACUACGAGCCUGCAGUGAUAAGGCAAAGCUGAAGAUUUCAGAGCCAAGGCCACACCCUACAGUUGCCAUGGAAUGGGGUGGCACAGUGGGCUUUGGAGGUAAAGUCUGCAGUUGAGAAGUUCAAGGGUAGUAAGUACUUAAUGCCAGGUCAAUCAUCCCUUUUAAGACACAGAUAUCAUCUGCAGCGUUUUCAGGAACAGCGAUAGAGAAGAAAAGCGGGCAGCUACUAGAUAUUCAAAUCUUCCACAAAUGUCAGGGAGAGAGUCAGGCAGUUGGUAGAAGAGACCUGUAAAGCUGGGUACCAUAAGCCUCAACACAGGUGUUUUUAUUUCAAGGCUGGGGAGCUGUGCUUUGGAAAAGCAAUGAGGAGAUAUACAGGGAGUCCACGGAGCCUCCCCUGCAAGCAUCAGUACAGAAGUCGAUGAUAAUCUGGAUGCAAGCCCAGGAGUGUGGAGUCCACUGACUCAGAAGACCUGCAUCUAAGGAAUUGGCUGUUCUUAUCCUUAAGAAUGAUGACUGUGUUUCCAAUUCCAGUAGACCCUUUGAUGCGUUCUGAAUAAAUAUUCCUUUUGGAAUUGAACUUCUAGAGCCCUUAA